CAUGAAAGUUUCAUUAUUUAAUCAUAAUAUUCGGUGAGAUAGCAAAUGUCCCAUGAUGGUGACUCGUAGAUUCAUUAUCACCUAAAACGGAGUUGUUUGCUUCUACCCUCUGCAAGCUUUAUUCACGUAGUAAUCAGAUCACAUCUUCUCUGUUUUUCCUUUCUUUUAUUCUCAGUCUUUAAAACAAUUCUUUCUAUAAUUCUAUCAUCUCUACAAUAUUUUGUGUUGCAGACCGUCUCUAAAAUUAUCACUGACACACAGGUAAAAAUAAAUAAAGGAAGAAAGAAAAGGGAGAGUUGAGAAUGGGGUUCGUGUUGGUGAUAUCGUUGCCGUUAAUAUUGUUCAUCUUGAUUUUGGCUUUGGUGUGUUACCUCUUGGGUAGGGCCCGGGGUCGACGACAAUGUGCACAGCCUCAGCAAUAUGGGCCACCUGCUCCUCCGCCUCAGGCCCAACCCAAAUAACCACGGGCCUACGACUAGAAAUGAUGUUACACAUGGAUGUUGAUGAUGAUGAUUACUAUUGUGUAAUUAUAAUUAUCUGCAUAGUUUAUCAAAGGCAAUACGAUGGCCGAAGCACUACCAUUCAUGACUAAUCUUGAAUGAAAUGAUAAAGCAUUGGAAUUUGUUUUCCAUGAAUGCAUGUUAGGUGAUUGGUGCUUGAAGAAAAUUUGGAUGUCUCAUUCCCCUUUGAACCACAUGUAUCAUCCAUUAAGACAAUUAUAAUUGAGUUGAGUUAGACCAUCAUAUAUAAAAAUUGAAUGAGUUGUGGGUGCUUGUGAAAAGGAUAAAACUUAUAUACAUUAUCGUGAGUAAUGAGUACUGUUUGUUUGUAUUGUCCAAUGAAAAGCUCAAUGAUUCACUUUCUUAACUUAGUGUUCAA